AUGUUUCGGGCUGUAAACAUCCUGCUGAUUUUUAAAAGGACACUGAGCGGGAGGAAGUCUACUGGCGCCAUCUUGACUCUUUUCAUGAGUACAACAGGAAGAGACAAUCGCUGGGAGUAAUUGCAUAAUCAUUGAUAUUUAUUUUUGAAAGGGGGGGGUACAAUCGGUGCUCUUACCCCCGGUUCUUCAAGAGCUAGCAACCAACCGGGGCAAUGUUCUACGCCCAUUUUGUCCUGUCCAAACGUGGGCCCCUGGCCAAGAUCUGGCUAGCGGCCCACUGGGACAAGAAGCUGACCAAGGCUCAUGUGUUUGAAUGUAACCUAGAGAGCAGUGUGGAGAGCAUUAUCUGCCCCAAGGUGAAGAUGGCGCUGAGGACCUCUGGUCACCUCCUGCUCGGUGUGGUGAGGAUCUACAACAGGAAGGCCAAGUACCUCCUGGCUGACUGUAAUGAAGCCUUCAUCAAGAUCAAGAUGGCUUUCAGACCAGGUGUGGUGGAUCUGCCAGAGGAGAACAGAGAGGCUGCCUACAACGCUAUCACCCUGCCGGAGGAUUUCCACGACUUUGACCAACCCUUACCUGACCUUGACGACAUAGACGUCGCCCAGCAGUUCACCCUGAACCAGAGCAGAGUGGAGGAGAUCACCAUGAGGGAGGAGGUGGGCAACCUCAGCCUCAUGCAGGACAAUGACUUUGCUGACUUUGGCAUGGAUGACCGUGAGAUGAUGAGGGUAGAGGGAGGCUUGGCAUGGAUGGCUGAGAUUGAAGAGGACAUCAUCCAUGGAGCGACAGCCUCUAAUCUGCUGCUGGAGGCGGAGCCGGGGCCUGCUCACCUGCCGGACAAGACCAACCACCUGGAGUAGGGAGGGAGGGGAAUGGGAAUGCUGGGUAGGGAGGGAGGAAUGCUGGUGGAUAAACUACUGUCCCAGGAGGAUGGGGGUGGUAUCUUUGACGACCCUCCAGCCAUCACAGAGAGCGUGAUUCCCCCAGACCAUGGAGACGAUGAGGACGACUUCGACAACCUGCAGUCACCGGGUCCAGACAGUCCCGACUCCGGCCCAGUCGAGCCGCUGCCGGCCAUGCAGGACCAGACGGAACAGACCACUCUGGUCCACAAUGAGGAGGAGGCUUUUGCCUUGGAGCCUAUCGACAUCACUGUGAAAGAGACCAAGGCGAAGAGGAAGAGGAAGCUGAUUGUCGACAACCUGAAAGAGCUGGACAGUAAGUCGAUCCGCGCCCAGCUCAGCGACUACUCGGACAUCGUGACCACGUUGGACAAGAAGCUGGCUCUCUCUCCACCUGAAGGUAAGAGACCGGAGAAGCUGAGCCGCUCUGCAAAUGUGGAAAGAGACCGGAGGAGUGGAGAAACUCUUCUCUCUCCCCGCACAGCCGCUCUGGAACGGCAAACUGCUGAAGAUGUUUACGCGCUGCCUGACUCCCCUGGUGCCGGAUGAGAUGAGGAAGAGGAGGAAGGGAGGAGAGGCUGAUAGUCUGGAUGAGUUCCUGAAGGACCUGGAGAACCCCGAGGUGCCCAGAGAGGAGGCUCUGUCUGGCAGGGACGUUAUUGACCAGACCAUCAUGGAGGAACCCAGUAUGCUGCAGGCCUCAGCCAUGGAGGGAAGUAGGACGACCCUGGAUGAGUCUGUCAUGCCGCCACCGUCCACCCCACACGGACUCAAACACAAGGAGGCUGGCCUGCCCAUGGGAGCCCAGGAGCCUCAGGCUGAUCUCUCAGUCCUCUCCAUGCCCCAGGUAGACCUGCCCCAGGUAGACCUGCCCCAGGUAGACCUGCCCCCAGAGGAGAGCCUCAGCCUCACACAGCUGGUCCCUGAGCUGGAUCUGCUGGACAAGGAGAAGAAGGACAAGGAUGACAGUGAUGAGGAGGAGGAGGAGGGGGAUCCAACUCAGGACCAGGAGGAGAAGAGGUGGAACAAGAGGACCCAGCAGAUGCUACAUGGCCUUCAGCGAGUCAUGGCCAAGACGGGAGCCGAGCAGGUCAGCUUGUUGGCGCUGUGCCGAGACAACAACAAGAAGCAGGCGGCCGCCAAGUUCUACAGUUUCCUGGUUCUGAAGAAACAGCAGGCCAUCGAGCUCAACCAGACCGAGCCUUACAGUGACAUCAUCGCUACAGCCGGACCAAGAUUCCACCUGGUUUAGACACUGCCUGAGGUCCAAAUGGCACUAGUUCCUAUACAGCGCCCUACUUUUGACCAGAGCCUCCUAGGGUUCUGGGCAAAAGUAGUGCACUAUAUAGGGAAUAUGGUGCUAUUUGGAAAUGUCUUUUUCACUAUUUUUAUGUAUGUUUUAGUUGUUUUGUUUUUUUGCCUUUUUUUUUUGUUGGGGGGGGGGGUCCUAAAUGCUAACUUUGAAAAGGAUUGUACUGUUUCUACCACCAACUGAAUCAUGCAGUAUUGUUGUUUUUUUAGUGAGAAAUGCAUUUAUCCAGUAUAUUUAUAUUUUCUGUCGAGUUUUUUUUUUUUUUUUUCAUUUUGUAAAGCUUUUCGACCACACUUGUUGUUUUGUUGUGGGGGUAGGGGUGGGGGGGGGGGGUUUGGAACAAUACAUGUCCCACUGCUCGGUAACGGUCAAAUUCAUCAAAAGAUUCAUCAAUUUUUUUAGUCUCCAAUCAAGGUUUCCCCUCCAAAAAUUGUGUAAGAACAUUUUAGUCUUUCAUGCUUGCAUACAUGCUGUUUACAGGUACUGUUAUAUCAUGAGAGAAACGGAAUAAGUGCUCUUCACCUCGGGGUCUUCCUCAUUGCACUUGACAAAAUCCUGGUUUUCAUAUUUAAAAAUAAAAAAUUUAAAAAAGCAAAUUUUUUUCGUUUUUACAGGUUGUUAUUUCUGUUGAUAAAUUGGCUAUAUUACGACUAGCAUUGAAUUGUAUUGUUUAGGUGUAUAAUAAUGCCCAUUUUAUUCACGUUGCGUUUUGUACCUCCACAGCUAUGUUUGUUGUCGUUGCAUAUAAAGUAACUAGACGCUUGUACAUGUUUCAAUGAAAGUUGAUGAUCCCAUGUUUUUUAAGUCUUAUGGUUAACUAGCUGUUGUGAUACUUCUGUAAAGAAUUUGAAAUAAAAGUGUUUUAAUUA